AUGCUCUCCACAGCACCAGCCGCGUAUUCCACCUCCUUCGCCGCCUUUCCCACCCUCGCGCGGCGCCGGCACCGGCACCGCCGCGUUCUGCUACCGUUCGCCGCGGCGACGGACGGGGCGGAGCGGUUCGCCGCGAGCAGCUCCAUUGCGGAUUACCUCCGGUACCGCCGCCCGAUGUCCGGGGACCUCUCGGUGGGAGGGGGUGGCGGCAAGCUGCAGACGGCCGUGGUGCGGUACGAGAAGCGGUUUCCAUGGUCGCUCAUCCACCCUUUUCUCCUCGUUGAUUUGGUUUCUACUGUACACAUUGCUGACAAAGAAUAUUUCGAUAAACUCCAACAAGCACUUGAAGACUAUGAUUGUGUUCUGUAUGAAAUGGUGAUAAGUCGGGAUAAUUUAAAUAACCAGCAGGACCCAACGUUUGCGAAGAAGAUGAGAUCUUCGCGCAAAGGUUUCAGUAUUCUUGGUUUCAUACAGAAACAAAUGGCUCGUAUCCUUUCAUUGGAUUACCAGCUAGAUUGCCUUGAUUAUGGCGAUGAGAAAUGGCAACAUGCUGACCUUGACUAUGAGACAUUCAAGCUGCUUCAGACUGAAAGAGGUGAAAGCUUUCUCACAUUUGCAGUGGACAUGACCCUGAAAUCAACUAAAGCCUUGGUACAACCAACUUCUCCAGAUGGUCUUGAUUUCUGGAGAUCCAAGUUGCUAUGGGCCUCGCGUGUUCUACCAAUGCCACUUAUUGGACUAUUUGUUAUCACCGGGCUUUGUUUGCCAGUGGAUAAGCAAGAUGGAUAUCCCGAGCUGGAAGCAUUAUCCAAACUAGAUUUAGGAGCUGCUCUUAAGAUUUUUCUGGCUAAGCAAUUGACCUCUGAUUUCAAUGCUAUGACUGCACCUGCUGAGGAUAAGUCAGUUAUAAUUGGGGAAAGGAACAAAGUUGCAACUGAGAAGAUAAAGGGUGCGGUAAACCGAGGGUACAAGAGAAUAGCGGUUCUGUACGGAGGUGGGCAUAUGCCAGACCUUGGAAGACGUCUUCGAGAAGAGCUAAAUAUGGUCCCAUCCAAUGUGCAAUGGGUCACAGCAUGGUCAAUAAGAAGCCGGGAGCUAGAUAAAAAAUCGCUUCCAUUUUUGAAGACGAUGGCUGAGGUUUCAGGGUGGCCUCUGAAUAGAUAUGAAACACUUGCUUUGCUAAUCUUUUCUUCAGUUCUUGCAGUGGAUCUAUGGUUUUGGGAGUUUCUCGUGGAAAGCAGUCUGAAUUGGGCAUCUUUGGCUGGUUCCUGGAUUGAUCAAUUUAGUGCUCCAUUUUGA
rnacentral:rRNA from 1 species